rnacentral:rRNA from 1 species
GACGAACGCUGGCGGCGUGCCUAAUACAUGCAAGUUGAGCGCUGAAGGUUGGUACUUGUACCAACUGGAUGAGCAGCGAACGGGUGAGUAACGCGUGGGGAAUCUGCCUUUGAGCGGGGGACAACAUUUGGAAACGAAUGCUAAUACCGCAUAAAAACUUUAAACACAAGUUUUAAGUUUGAAAGAUGCAAUUGCAUCACUCAAAGAUGAUCCCGCGUUGUAUUAGCUAGUUGGUGAGGUAAAGGCUCACCAAGGCGAUGAUACAUAGCCGACCUGAGAGAGUGGUCGGCCAGAUUGGGACUGAGACACGGCCCAAACUCCUACGGGAGGCAGCAGUAGGGAAUCUUCGGCAAUGGACGAAAGUCUGAGCGAGCAACGCCGCGUGAGUGAAGAAGGUUUUCGGAUCGUAAAACUCGGUUGGUAGAGAAGAACGUUGGUGAGAGUGGAAAGCUCAUCAAGUGACGGUAACUACCCAGAAAGGGACGGCUAACUACGUG